UCUGCCCCACAUCAACAAUGGCAUCUGAAAUUGAGGCUUCUGAUAGGUGUACCCUGUGACAGCAGCGUCAGCCUCGGAGCGCGGCCGAAGCGUGCGGCCCCAGGAGCCCGGCCCUCUUAGGAGACGCUGACUAAGAGAGAACAGCCCAGCGA